ensembl:snRNA U6 U6 spliceosomal RNA
AUACUCUCUUCAACAACACGCAUACUACAAUUGUAACGAUACAGAGAAGAUUAGCAUGGCCUCCGUGCAAGGAUGACACGCAAAUUCGUGAAGCGUUCCAUAUUUUU